GUGGCCACAUUACGUUUAGUCUUUUUGCAAGUUAAAUCUCUUGAUUGGAACAGUGUUCCCUUUCAUUGUUUUUGCUUUCUACUAUUUAGAAUUUCCUGUGUUUUAUAUUUAUAUUUUUCAUUUCUAGUGUCAUUUAAAUGGUUCCUCUAACUUCUCAGUUUCAUGUUAAUAGAACUUAAUUCUAAAGUCUUGGCAAGUUCAGAUCCUACUUUUUGAAGAAUAAUUGGGAAUUAGUUUAGUAAUAAGUACACUUGAAUUUAUUUGUAUAUAAUGUAAAUUCAUCAUUUAUAUAAUAGUAACUGAACAAAAGUGAAACAGUUGUUUAUAAACCACCUUUUGGAACAAUGACAUGUUGUGUCUUUACUUUGGCUGUGUUUUAUUUCUUGUUCUUUGGUAAGCUGAUUGGCUGAAAACCAAUCAGGGAUAAUAGUCUGCCUUAAAGCAGAUUUGACACAGUUAUUAGGGAAAACAAUUUCAAUUAUCUGUUGGGUAUUUCUUAAGCUUCUGAUUUCAGCUGUAAAAGGUGCAUGUUCUAUUUAACUCUGGGUAAUGGCAACUGCUAUCCAUCUGUUAGCAUCUUUGCUAGUUAAACAAGGGUAGCAACAUUUCCAUCAUAAUAAUUCCUAUCUUUCUUUUUGUUCAAACCCCAUUCUGAGAGGAGCUAAAUUGACUAUGAAGGCUACUGUUUCUUUUUGACAUGCCAUCUGCUGGAUGACAUCUCAAAAUUAUCACUGGAAAUUUAUGUUUAAGCAACUGUACCAGACAGCAGAGAAAAGCAAGAAUAUUUGCACAAUUGAAAACAACUUUGGUAACAUUUGGAAACCUCCCUUGUAGCAAGUUUUUGUAUUUAUCUUCAGUUGGCCUAAACACACCUCAAUGAAUUAAUCCCAUAGAUUAGUUUGCUGAAUUUGGGUAACCAGCAAGCCUUAUUUGCUAAUUGAAUACUUGGUUAAUCUACUCUUCCUGAAGUAUUUACCCAGUUUUUUUUUUUUUUUUAAUUGUACAAACUCAUUUGUUAACCAUGGAAAGCACAAGUGUUUCAUUUGAUAAUUGAAGAGUAAUCAGGAAAAAAAAAAAAAGAAAUAAUUUUGGAUCACAUAUUUUAGUCUAGAAUAAAAGGUCUUAUGUAAAGUAGUGAAUCCCAAUGGCAACAUACUACAUUAAGCUCUUAAUAACAUAUGAACCAGUAGGAAAUUUAUUUGAAUUCCUGAAAAGAAAUAUGACCAUGUAAUAGAUAUGCCAUAUGAGAUAAACAUGUUAAGGCUGGCUGAUGAUACACAAAUAUAUAGUCUCAGGGACUAUAAUGAAGUAUAAUAAGACAAAAUAAAGAUGGGUCCAAAUUAUUUCUGGAUUUGUUACCCUAAUUAUAGAAGACAAAUUAACAUCCUUGGUGGAGUUAAACUGAAAUUUUAUUAAAAAAUUUUUAGUCAUAGCUUUUAUUAUUAUCCUUACUCUCUACUCCUCCCCUGAGCUCCCUUGAGGUUCUGUAAAAAUUGCUUCUUGUAGUUAAUUAUGGAUGUCUACAUUCACCUAAUGACAAUCAGAGGAGUCUGGGACACAGUCAACAUUUGGAAAGAAUGGCAGUUACUGCAAUUCCUCGAGAUAGGUGAACUGGAAAUACAAAAAUGUUUAAGGGAUAAAGAGUUGAUAGAAGAGGAGAACAAGUAUAGUGGUAAUUUUUAUAGUCUAGUGUUUAGAAACAAGGCAAGAUAAAUGAUAUAGGACAGGUAAAGGAAGUUAAAAGGAGACAACCUGGAAAGCACACCUACUUUAUAACAGUAAGCUAAAGCUCUUGGGAGGAAGUUGCCUAGUACUAUGCAUUAAAUUCUUGGUCCAUAAAUUUUUGUAAUAGCUGUCUGGUUCUGGAAAUUGGUUGCUUUGGGAAGUAGUUUGUAAAUUUCAGGGUUAAGUCUUUCAUUUAUGAAUGUCCCAAGUUCUAAAUUUGUUAGUAUAUUUACCCGAGGUAGCAUGAAUCAUUGGGCAUGGUUCUGGAGUAUAAGAACAGGACAGUUACAGUUACUGAAAUUACUCCCUUUUAGGGCAGUUCUAAAAUUUGCCUUCAUACUGCCAUUUUUCUUUUUCAAUAUAAUUCAAUUGUCUAGCUGUGUAACAAAGUUCUAUCUGGUGACUGUUGGAAAUGUUUCUUUCAUAUAUAUAUUUGCUAUGUAAAACUUUAGUUUUAAGAUCAGAUGUUACAUAGGGACAAUGGAGGAGUCAAUCUAAGCCUCAUGAGACAUGUUAUGAUAUUGUAUAAUUAAACUUUAUAGUACGUAGCUGUAAUAUCUUUAAAGAAAGGGAUACACCUUUAGGUCAAGAUUAAAUUCUAUUGUAAAUUUGGAUGUUUUGAUUUAAAAACAUAUUAGUUUAAUCUUUUGAAAACUUUGGGAUAAUGGGGCAUCAAAAUUUAUAUUUUAUAAUAAACCUCAUAUAAUUUAUUAGUUAUUAAAUUGUGAAGUAAGUUUCUCUCACACUAGAAUGUAUUGAAAGUAUUUAACAAAGAGAAACAAAGCUGAUAAGUCAUUUUGCAAGUUCCAAAUAAGAAACAGCACUUGCCUAACCAGGAAAUAUGUAUACUAUUACUAAAAUAUAUUAAUCACUUCACAAUUAAGAUAACUGAUUAAAACCAAUUUAUAAAUUCAAAUGAUCCUUAGGUUAUUGUUCUGUAUUUUGCCCUACUUUAUAGUUUUCCUGAGUUCUAAUUACAAAUAAAGCAAAUUUUGUCAUAUUUUGAAUUUCUUAGGUAAAAUUUCUCCAUCAGUAAUUUUGUAAAGUUUGGAUUAACUUGAUUAACUUAACACCGGAGUUGCUUUAUUGUAACACAAGAUCUCAGAAUCUUUAUUUCAAUGGACUCCAAUCAGCCACUUGGGACACACCAAAGUCCAUAGAAGUUUAUGAAAUAAGAUUGUGUGAAAAUAGAUAGCUCUUUUAUAGAGGCAGAAGGUUGUAUUUGAAUAAGUCCUCUGGAUUCAUAAAAAUCAGGUUGAGUAAUGGCCUAUAAAAUCUCAAUAGUGGUGAAAUCUGUAAGGGCUGUUUGUUUUACAUAGUAGUCAUAUUGAGAUUUAUCUCUACCUUUUCAAUUACUGUUUAAUUUUAAUAAAGUGUAUUGAAUGACAAAUACUUAUUUAGAAACAUUUUUCAUGUAUAAUAUUCCUUAAACUUUAAAGUGCAUAUAAAUCAACUGUAUUAAAAAUUCAAAUUCCUAAACCACACUGCCAGAGAAUCUGAUGAGAUAAUUCUGAGGUGGCACCUGAAAAUGUACAUUUUAACAAACAUUUUUCAAGUCUAAAUUGAAAUUUAUGAUAUUCAGCUUUCUGGGUUGUCAGAUUAUAGUGAAUGGAUUGUACAAUUUCAUUCACUUGAAAAUUUUUACUAGGUAACUUUAUUUUUCAAGGGCUGAGUAACUUUCUAUUCUGAAACCAUUUCUAAAAUAUCUCAGUAGAAACACAAUAAUGGAAAGAUUAAGAGCCUGGAAUCUAGAGCUAGUUUCAACUAUGAGUAUAGUUCCAACUAUGGUUUGAUGUUUUACAAGGUUCUUUUUUUCCUGUAUAUAGUGCUUGACCUGAAAUGGAUAUACAAGUUAUUCUAGAUCAAUGGAUUUGUCCUUAGGGUGGUAGGGACUAUUUUUAUAUUUUUUAUGUAUCUGACUACAAAUAUUAAAUAAAGAAUAGAGAGAUGAAGAAAACAUGAUAAAUUAAACUAAAUGCUGAGUGACUGCAGAUAAAUGUACCAAAACUGUUAAAUUCAUUUUGUAAAAUAAUUCUGGUCACAAAGCAAGUCUCAGUGUAAAUUUCAAAAUUGCAAACAAAGAGAGUAGAUAUUCUUAUCACAGAGAAAUUAAUCUUAAAUCAUAUUUUUAAAAUGUAACUAGAAAUCUCUAUACAUUCAGAAAUUGAUAUACAUACACAUACACAUCCAAAAACCUCACUAGUACAAGAAUCUAAAAUUUAAAUACUUUGAACAUAUUUAGUAAAAUACAACUUAUAAAAUGUUUGUAUUACAGAUGAAGCUGCAUUAAUAGACAUGUUUGUAUACAUAUAUACAUGUUUGUAUAUAUCUCCAUAAAUCCAUAAUAAAAAAUUUAAAAGUCUGAAUUAUUAUCAAAGCAUCCAUCUAA
rnacentral:lncRNA from 1 species